ACCCGCUGAACUUAAGCAUAUCAAUAAGCGGAGGAAAAGAAACCAACAGGGAUUGCCUUAGUAACGGCGAGUGAAGCGGCAAAAGCUCAAAUUUGAAAUCGGCCACCAGGUCGAGUUGUAAUUUGUAGAUUGUAUCUUGAGAGCGGAUUAAAGUCUGUUGGAACACAGCGCCUUAGAGGGUGACAGCCCCGUAAAAUCUAUUCUCAUUGUAAGAUACUUUCGAGGAGUCGAGUUGUUUGGGAAUGCAGCUCUAAGUGGGAGGUAAAUUCCUUCUAAAGCUAAAUAUUGACGAGAGACCGAUAGCGAACAAGUACUGUGAAGGAAAGAUGAAAAGCACUUUGAAAAGAGAGUGAAAAAGUACGUGAAAUUGUUAAAAGGGAAGGGUAUUGAAUCAGACUUGGUGCUGUUGUUCAACUGUGUUUCGGCAUAGUGUACUCAGCAGUACUAGGCCAAGGUGGGGUGUUUGGGAGUGAAAAAGAAGUUGGAACGUAACUCUUCGGAGUGUUAUAGCCUACUUUCAUAGCUCCUCAGGCGCCUCAGGACUGCGCUUCGGCAAGGACCUUGGCAUAAUGAUUCUAUACCGCCCGUCUUGAAACACGGACCAAGGAG
rnacentral:rRNA from 1 species